CGCUCUGUGCAUGCAGCAUAUCAAUAAGCGGAGGAAAAGAAACUAACAAGGAUUCCCCUAGUAACGGCGAGUGAAGCGGGAAGAGCUCAAAUUUGAAAUCUUAAAGGGUUUCCCUUUACGAAUUGUAGUUUAAAGAAGUGUUUUCUGUUGAGGUUUUGGUAAAAGUUCUUUGGAAUAGGACAUCAUAGAGGGUGAGAAUCCCGUAUUUGACCUUUACUUUCCAACUUUGUGAUACACUUUCAAAGAGUCGGAUUGUUUGGGAAUGCAGUCCAAAAUGGGUGGUAAAUUUCAUCUAAAGCUAAAUAUUGGCGAGAGACCGAUAGCGAACAAGUACCGUGAGGGAAAGAUGAAAAGAACUUUGAAAAGAGAGUUAAACAGUACGUGAAAUUGUCAAAAGGGAAGCGUUUGACACCAGUGUUGUUUUUCUGAAAAUCAAUUAAAGAACUGUUUAUGCUAAGUUGUUUAGACUUUAUCAGCUAACUGUUUAGUUUUGAGCUUUUCUUUAAUGCACUUUUCAGUUAACAAGUCAACAUCAAUUUCUUUUGCUGUAAAAAAGCUUGAGGAAGGUGGCUUGAGAUUCGUCUUAAGUGUUUAUAGCCUCUUGCCUAUGCAGUCGGAGAGAUUGAGGUCUGCAGCGUAGAUCCUUCGGGGCUAAAUGCAUUUGUGCUAAGUUAUAGCAUUUUAUAGACAACUUGUUGACUAUGAUUUGUCUUGUAGCUUACUCGCUUAUGUUAUUUUACCUACGCUUAGGAUGUUGACAGCAGUAUAGACUGU
rnacentral:rRNA from 1 species